rnacentral:lncRNA from 1 species
CUCCUGGUCUCCUGGCCUUCUGCUCCUGGUCUCCUGGCCUCCUGCUCCUGGUCUCCUGGCCUGCUCCUGGUCUCCUGGCCUGCUCCUGGUCUCCUGGCCUGCUCCUGGUCUCCUGGCCUCCUGCUCCUGGUCUCCUGGCCUUCUGCUCCUGGUCUCCUGGCCUCCUGCUCCUGGUCUCCUGGCCUUCUGCUCCUGGUCUCCUGCCUCCUGCUCCUGGUCUCCUGGCCUUCUGCUCCUGGUCUCCUGGCCUGCUCCUGGUCUCCUGGCCUGCUCCUGGUCUCCUGGUCUGCUCCUGGUCUCCUGGCCUUCUGCUCCUGGUCUCCUGGCCUGCUCCUGGUCUCCUGGCCUGCUCCUGGUCUCCUGGCCUCCUGCUCCUGGUCUCCUGGCCUUCUGCUCCUGGUCUCCUGGCCUCCUGCUCCUGGUCUCCUGGCCUGCUCCUGGUCUCCUGGCCUGCUCCUGGUCUCCUGGUCUGCUCCUGGUCUCCUGGCCUUCUGCUCCUGGUCUCCUGGCCUGCUCCUGGUCUCCUGGCCUGCUCCUGGUCUCCUGGCCUCCUGCUCCUGGUCUCCUGGCCUUCUGCUCCUGGUCUCCUGGCCUCCUGCUCCUGGUCUCCUGGCCUGCUCCUGGUCUCCUGGCCUGCUCCUGGUCUCCUGGCCUGCUCCUGGUCUCCUGGCCUCCUGCUCCUGGUCUCCUGGCCUUCUGCUCCUGGUCUCCUGGCCUUCUGCUCCUGGUCUCCUGGCCUGCUCCUGGUCUCCUGGCCUGCUCCUGGUCUCCUGGCCUUCUGCUCACAGCCAUGUUCGGUCAACACAGCAUGUCCCACCAGGUGGAGGUGACCUUUCUUCAGAACCCAGCUGUUCUUAGCAAACAUCAUCUGGCUCUGCUUUUGAGAUUGGUCCACAUUCAGGUCUGGUCCAUAUUGCGGUCUGGUCCACAUUGAGGUCUGGUCCACAUUGAGGUCUGGUCCACAUUGAGGUCAGAAGACCCAGUCAUGAGUGGGUUCCUCUCCAGUGAAAGACCUGGUUGCUA